rnacentral:rRNA from 1 species
GACAGAGGGUGCGAACGUUGUUCGGAAUUACUGGGCGUAAAGCGCGUGUAGGCGGCAGCGCAAGUCGGGCGUGAAAUCCCACGGCUCAACCGUGGAAGUGCACUCGAAACUGCGCAGCUAGAGUCCUGGAGAGGAAGGUGGAAUGCUUGGUGUAGAGGUGAAAUUCGUAGAUAUCAAGCGGAACACCGGUGGCGAAGGCGGCAUCCUGGACCAAUUCUGACGCUGAGGAGCGAAAGCCAGGGGAGCAAACGGG